rnacentral:rRNA from 1 species
ACGAACGCUGGCGGCGUGCUUAACACAUGCAAGUCGAACGGUGAAGCGCCUUCCUUUUUGGUGGGUGUGGAUGAGUGGCGAACGGGUGAGUAACACGUGAGUAACCUGCCCCCUUCUUCUGGAUAACCGCAUGAAAGUGUGGCUAAUACGGGAUAUUCUGGGUCUGUCGCAUGAUGGGUCUGGGAAAGAUAUUGUUUCGGUGGGGGAUGGGCUCGCGGCCUAUCAGCUUGGUGGUGGGGUGAUGGCCUACCAAGGCGGUGCGGGGUCGCCGGGCUGGGAGGGUGGGCGGUCACGCUGGGGCUGAGACACGGCCCAGACUCCGACGGGAGGCAGCAGUGGGGAUUAUUGCACAGUGGGCGCAAGGCUGAUGCAGCGACGCCGCGUGAGGGAUGGACGCCUUCGGGUUGUGAACCUCUUUCGCCAGUGAAGCAGGCCUGCCUCGUUUGUGGGUGGGUUGACGGUAGCUGGAUAAGAAGCGCCGGCUAACUACGUG